GGGGCUGACUUGGAUUUCGACAGAUUUCUUGUCGCACAGAUAGCAUGCCAAGUGCUACUUGUAAAACAGCAACAAAAAUAACUGUAAACAACGCAGAUUACGCUCCAGCUUACGCUAAAGCUGCGUGAGUUAAUCUCCUUUUGGAGCUGGACUGAUUAGAAUUUCUAGCGUUUUAAUCACUCCAUAACCUUAAGCUAGACGCUUUUAAAAGGUGGUUCGCCUUUUAAACUAAGAAACAAGAACUCUUGAAACUACCUCAAGGUUUUAGAAAGUUGGACCAGAGCUAGUUUUAAGGCUAAAAAACUAACCAAUUUUCUAAGCAUUGUAGAAGUUUGUGUUUAGGACAAGAUUUUUGGACUGGGGUUCGAUUCCCCACAGCUCCACCA
rnacentral:tmRNA from 1 species